GACUGAGAGCUGCCUGCGUUUAAAUGGACAGUGACAGAGGAGGAAGAGGAGGCAGAAGAGGGAGAGGAAAGAGAGGAAGCCGCGGUGGAGAGGACAGAGAUGUCCGCCUGUCUAAAUCCAUGUCUUAUGCUCUUCGCCAUGGAGCCAACCAGAUGGGUCUCCACAUGGGUACAGAUGGUUUCCUAUUUGUGGAGGACCUCCUGGCUCACUCGCAGUUCCGCUCAUAUUCAUUGGAGGACGUCGAGAGAGUCGUGGCUGCAAAUGACAAGCAGCGCUUUAAGCUUCGCUCCCACCCAGAGGACGGCCGCUUGCAGAUUCGAGCCAAUCAGGGCCAUUCAGUGCAGGUAACAGAUUUGGAGCUGAAGCCGGUCCUGGCUGGUUCUCCAGACUGCCCUGCUGAGGCCCUCCAUGGCUCCUACAUCCGCAACUGGAGCUCCAUCCAGCAACAGGGCCUGAGCCGCAUGAAGAGGACACACAUCCAUCUGGCACCAGGCCUGCCAGGAGAGGAUGGUGUCAUCAGCGGCAUGAGGAGAGACUGUGAUCUAGCCGUUUUUAUUGAUGUACCAAAAGCUCUUGCUGGUAACAUGGUAUUGAGUUCUUCUGGUCAGAGAACGGUGUUUUGCUGACUGCAGGCGACGCAGAGGGAAAACUUCUCCCUAAAUACUUCAGUCGAGCCCUAAAACUGAGACCUACAAGGAGCAUCCUGCCACUGCAGUAGCAGCAGAGGAUACUGGUCUGUCAUUGGUCACAGAGGGACUCACCUGACCAUGUUAGCGUCCAACUGUUGGUUGAUGCUCAUCCUAGUUCCCUUGGUAACACUUGUUUGGCAGAAGAGUGAAGCAUUUGUGGUCAGCAGUAGGAGAAUCCAUUCAGAAAUCAUCCUCAAUGGGACUAAAUUGGUAAACCUUUCAUCCUUUGGUCAUUAUUGAAAGGAUCAUGAUGGCCUGAUGGUUUCUUUUUCUUUUUCAUUUUUAUUUUAUUUUUAACAGGAAAAAACAGCAGAGCAAUGAAGAACAUUACCAGCUGUGGGCCUGAAAGUGUUUUCCAGCAGGGUUCCUGCUGUCUCACAGUGAGGAAAAAAGCAAUCAAAAUAACAUAAAACAAGACAGGCAGAGAAUAAAAAUGGUAAUUUUUAUAUGAAAGUUCAAUUGACUUAUGCUGGAAAACGUCACUUUUUAUUUAAAGGCAUAGACACUUAGUUUUCUUUAUGGCGUUGUCAGUGCUAAAUAAACAGUGGCAUCUAUUUACUCCCAAGAUAAUUUCACCUAGCAGUAAAAUAUAUGGACAUUGGACGCCAACAGACACGCUAUAUAAUGCAACAACCAGCCAGGCCUUUAAAGACAGACAUAUUUAAAGACAUAUUUUUGUGAGAUAUGGACACACACACACAUACACACACACAGCAUGUGAGGGGAGAUAAUUGGUUAGAAGCUUCCUGUGUAAGAAACAACAGAAACUGGCACCAGAUGUCAUGACAAUAGGGAGUGAAGAUAACUGAGAAUGAAAUGUAAAUUGCUUUAUUUAUUUUUAAUAACUGUUUUGUUUAUUCAUAACUAUAUGUGGUAAACUUUUCAUACUGGCAUGUAUUUUGUACUCUGUACAACGGUUGUUGGCUAAAAUAAUGUGGCUGCUGUAAUAUGCCAUUUAUUAAAUGUUUUACAAGUGACAAUAAAACUGCAGCUUUGCACAAAGAGA